UGGGGAAUAUUGCACAAUGGAGGGAACUCUGAUGCAGCGACGCCGCGUGAGUGAUGAAGGACUUCGUUUCGUAAAACUCUGUUCUAUGGGAAGAAAAGGACUGUACCAUAGGAGAAAGCUCCGGCUAAAUACGUGCCAGCAGCCGCGGUAAUACGUAUGGAGCGAGCGUUGUCCGGAAUUAUUGGGCGUAAAGGGUGCGCAGGCGGCUUUACAAGUUGGAUGUGAAAUAUUGUGGCUCAACCACAAACGUGCAUCCAAAACUGCAAAGCUUGAGUUAAGGAGAGGUAAGUGGAAUUCCUGGUGUAGCGGUGGAAUGCGUAGAUAUCAGGAGGAAUACCGGUGGCGAAGGCGACCUACUGGACUUAAACUGACGCUCAGGCACGAAAGCGUGGGGAGCAAACAGG
rnacentral:rRNA from 1 species